rnacentral:rRNA from 1 species
AUUGAACGCUGGCGGCAGGCCUAACACAUGCAAGUCGAGCGAGCGGCGGACGGGUGAGUAAUGUCUGGGAAACUGCCGGAGGGAGGGGGAUAAAUACUGGAAACGGUAGCUAAUACCGCAUACCAUCAGAUGUGCCCAGAUGGGAUGAGCUAGUAGGUGGGGUAACGGCUCCCCGAGGCGACGAUCCCUAGCUGGUCUGAGAGGAUGACCAGCCCCACUGGAACUGAGACACGGUCCAGCCUCCUACGGGCGGCAGCAGUGGGGAAUAUUGCACAAUGGGCCGAAGCCUGAUGCAGCCAUGCCGCGUGUGUGAAGAAGGCCUUCGGGUUGUAAAGCACUUUCAGCGGGGAGGCGUUACCCGCAGAAGAAGCACCGGCUAACUCCGUGCCAGCAGCCGCGGUAAUAC